CCUACGGGAGGCAGCAGUGGGGAAUAUUGGGCAUGGGCGCAAGCCUGACCCAGCAACGCCGCGUGAAGGAAGAAGGCAUUCGGGUUGGAAACUUCCUUUCCCAGGGACGAAGCCAGUGACGGUAACUGAGGAAUAAGCCACGGGCAAAUACGUGCCAGCAGCCGCGGUAAUACGGAGGUGGGAAGCGGUUUCCGGCUUUACUGGGUGUAAAGGGGGUGGUGGCGGGACUGCAAAGCAGAUGUGAAAACCAAGGGCUCAACCUGUGGCCUGCAUUUGAAACUGUAGUUCUUGAGUACUGGAGAGGCAGACGGAAUUCCUAGUGUAGCGGUGAAAUGCGUAGAUAUUAGGAGGAACACCAGUGGCGAAGGCGGUCUGCUGGACAGCAACUGACGCUGAGGCGCGAAAGCGUGGGGAGCAAACAGGAUUAGAUACCCUAGUAGUC
rnacentral:rRNA from 1 species